UACGUAGGGUGCGAGCGUUAAUCGGAAUUACUGGGCGUAAAGUGUGCGCAGGCGGCCGCGCAAGUCGAGUGUGAAAGCCCCGAGCUUAACUUGGGAACUGCGCUCGAAACUACGUGGCUGGAGUGUGGCAGAGGAAGGUGGAAUUCCAGGUGUAGCGGUGAAAUGCGUAGAGAUCUGGAGGAACACCCGUGGCGAAGGCGGCCAUCUGGACCAGCACUGACGCUGAGGCACGAAAGCGUGGGGAGCAAACAGG
rnacentral:rRNA from 1 species